GGCGAACGCUGGCGGCGUGCUUAAAACAUGCAAGUCGAACGGGGGCUUCGGCCCCAGUGGCAAACGGCUGAGUAACGCGUGGGUGACCUACCUGGAAGUGGGGAAUAACUGCCCGAAAGGGUGGCUAAUACCGCAUGUGAUGGCGAGACCGAUCUCGUCAUGAAAGUCUUCGGACGCUUCGAGAGGGGCCCGCGUUCGAUUAGCUAGUUGGUGGGGUAACGGCCUACCAAGGCGACGAUCGAUAGCUGGUCUAAGAGGAUGAUCAGCCAGACUGGGACUGCGACACGGCCCAGACUCCUACGGGAGGCAGCAGUUAGGAAUUUUGGGCAAUGGGCGAAAGCCUGACCCAGCAACGCCGCGUGGGUGAUGAAGGCCUUCGGGUCGUAAAGCCCUUUUUCAGGGGAAGAUGAUGACGGUACCCUGAGAAUAAGCCCCGGCUAACUACGUGCCAGCCGCCGCUGUAA
rnacentral:rRNA from 1 species